GCCGAGUAGGCGGCCGGCGCCUCGGGAGGGGCGGGGCCGCCGCAGAAAGACUGCAACUCCCAGAAUGCAGCGCGGGACUUCCGGUUUCCGGCGAGUGGCCCGGAGCGUGUUUACACCGGCGGCUCUGCGGCCGGGUUCCUUCCGCGGGACGGGGAGAAAGAGAGAGCGCGAAAGAGAGAGGAUGUCUCUCUCAGAUUGGCACCUGGCGGUGAAGCUGGCUGACCAGCCACUUGCCCCAAAGUCCAUUCUCCAGUUGCCAGAGUCAGAGUUGGGUGAAUACUCACUGGGGGGCUACAGUAUUUCAUUUCUGAAGCAGCUCAUUGCUGGCAAACUCCAGGAGUCUGUUCCAGACCCUGAGCUGAUUGAUUUGAUAUACUGUGGCCGGAAGCUUAAAGAUGACCAGACCCUUGACUUCUACGGCAUUCAACCUGGGUCCACAGUCCAUGUUCUGCGGAAGUCCUGGCCCGAGCCUGAUCAGAAACCAGAACCUGUGGACAAAGUUGCUGCCCUGAGGGAGUUCCGGGUGCUGCAUACUGCCCUGCACAGCAGCUCUUCCUACAGGGAGGCGGUCUUUAAGAUGCUCAGCAAUAAGGAAUCUCUAGAUCAGAUCAUUGUGGCCACCCCAGGCCUCAGCAGUGACCCUAUUGCUCUUGGCGUUCUCCAGGACAAGGACCUCUUCUCUGUCUUUGCGGAUCCCAGCAUGCUUGAAACGUUGGUGCCUGCCCACCCAGCCCUGGUCAAUGCCAUCGUCCUGGUUCUGCACUCGGUGGCAGGCAGCACCCCACUGCCGGGAGCUGACUCCUCUUCCCGAAGCGUGCCCUCCGGCUCGUACCGGGACAUGCCGGGUGGCUUCCUGUUUGAAGGGCUCUCAGAUGAUGAAGACGACUUUCACCCAAGCUCUAGGUCCACGCCCUCCAGCAGCACACCCAGCUCGCGCCCAGCCUCCCUGGGGUACAGUGGAGCUGCUGGCCCCCGGCCCAUCACCCAGAGUGAGCUGGCCACCGCCCUCGCCCUGGCCAGCACUCCGGAGAGCAGCUCUCACACGCCGACUCCUGGCACCCAGGGCCAUUCCUCAGGGACCUCACCAAUGUCUUCUGGUGUCCAGUCAGGGACACCCAUCACCAAUGAUCUCUUCAGCCAAGCCCUCCAGCAUGCCCUGCAGGCCUCUGGGCAGCCCAGCCUUCAGAGCCAGUGGCAGCCUCAGCUGCAGCAGCUGCGUGACAUGGGCAUCCAGGACGACGAGCUGAGCCUGCGGGCCCUGCAGGCCACCAGCGGCGACAUCCAAGCGGCGCUGGAGCUCAUCUUUGCCGGAGGAGCCCCAUGAACUCCUGCUCCUUGUCACCCCCCAGCAAACUGCCGAGGUGGCUGCCCACGGGAGGCACUCCUGAAGAGAGGACAGACAAUGGAGGCCACACAGCUCAGCAGAUGAGGUCCUGGACUAGAGGGAGAAUGUGUCUUGGAGACCAGCCUGGGCCAGGACACGCUGCUCACUUCAGGGCCACAGCCUCGGCUGCACACCUGGGGUUGAACUGUCCACAGCCUCCCCUUCUUUGGGGCACCGUACCUCUGGGCAUUUGGAAGCUGUUGGCCCCACCCAGGAGGCCAGGAACCUAGCCCUGUCUCUGGAGGCAUCUUGAUUUCACCUUUUAGCCUGUUGGGGUAUCUUGGAGCUCAUAGGGAAGAAGGAAAGGGAUAGCUGGUAACCAAAUAAGGAAUGGUCAAGCAAAAGACUUCCUGGUGACGAAACUUUGCUGGCUGUGGGCUGGGGCCGGGGCCGGGGGCCCCCUCUCUAUGCUGGUGUGUUCAGUGUGUGAAUCAAGUCCAGCUAGUUGUGUGGGUCCUGGAGGCCUAGCGGCACCUCUGCUACCUCCUCCUCACCCUGUUUUCCUCUCGGUGCAGCUCACCCCGGAGACAGAUACCAGUUCAGCUCUCCAGGAAGCACUGGAUAAGUGGAAUUCCUAUCCAUGGUCCCCUCAGGCACAAAGGUGGAGAGCCUGGGCCUUCCCCGGCCCAAGGGAGAGGAGACUCCUCUGCAAAGGGCAGGCAUGUGGCUCUGAGAGAUCAGCUAAUGGCAGAGCUGCCGGGACUAUUUACAGAACUGGCAGAGGGACUGGGUCUGGAUCCUGCCCGCAUCACUGCUGGGUCAUCAGGUUGCCUGCAUGGCUGAACCCUUAGAUGCCUUGGGAGCGGAGACUCCCCAAGGCUGGUCUGACCCUGCCUCCA